ensembl:snRNA Gm27549 U7 small nuclear RNA
AGCUAACAGAGCUCUUUUAGAAUUUUCCUAGCAAGUUUUCUGACUUUGGUCAGAAAACACGA